rnacentral:rRNA from 1 species
GAUGAAUGCUGGCGGCGCGCCUAACACAUGCAAGUCGAGCGGUAACAGGUCUAGUUUACUAGAUGCUGACGAGCGGCGGACGGCUGAGUAACGCGUGGGAACAUGCCCCAAAGUGAGGAAUAACUGCCCGAAAGGGUAGCUAAUGCCGCAUAUGAUCUUCGGAUUAAAGGAUUUAUCCGCUUUGGGAGUGGCCCGCGUACGAUUAGGUAGUUGGUGAGGUAAUGGCUCACCAAGCCUACGAUCGUUAACUGGUCUGAGAGGAUGAUCAGUCAGACUGGAACUGAGACACGGUCCAGACUCCUACGGGAGGCAGCAGUGAGGAAUCUUCCACAAUGGGCGAAAGCCUGAUGGAGCGACGCCGCGUGCAGGAUGAAGGCCCUCGGGUUGUAAACUGCUUUUAUAAGUGAAGAAUAUGACGGUAACUUAUGAAUAAGCACCGGCUAA